rnacentral:tRNA from 1 species
GAGGGUAUAGCUCAAGCGGUAGAGCGCAUCCUUAGCGUGCAUGAGGUCCUGGGUUCAAUCCCCAGUACCUCCU